CUACGGGAGGCUGCAGUGGGGAAUAUUGCACAAUGGGGGAAACCCUGAUGCAGCAACGCCGCGUGGAGGAUGACACAUUUCGGUGCGUAAACUCCUUUUAUAUGUCAAGAUAAUGACGGUAGCCUAUGAAUAAGCGCCGGCUAACUCCGUGCCAGCAGCCGCGGUAAUACGGAGGGCGCAAGCGUUACUCGGAAUCACUGGGCGUAAAGAGCAUGUAGGCGGGUUAAUAAGUCAGAAGUGAAAUCCAAUAGCUCAACUAUUGAACUGCUUUUGAAACUGUUAACCUAGAGUGUGGGAGUGGUAGAUGGAAUUUCUGGUGUAGGGGUAAAAUCCGUAGAGAUCAGAAGGAAUACCGAUUGCGAAGGCGAUCUACUGGAACAUUACUGACGCUGAGAUGCGAAAGCGUGGGGAGCAAACAGGAUUAGAUACCCCCGUAGUC
rnacentral:rRNA from 1 species